ensembl:lncRNA
CCGAGACAGGGAAAGGAUUCGGGUUUCUGGUUCUUCCAGUUUUAUUGCCUCAGCAUUAGACCUCGAUGUCUCUUUAUAUUUCACACGUAGUUAGGAUUAGGGUCUGUAGCUGUGUAUUCAUUGUUGUUUUAGUUGCUAAGUCGUGUCUGACUCUUUUGCGACCCGAUGGACUGUAGCCCGCCAGUCUGCUCUGUCCGUGGCAUUCGCCAGGUGAGAACACUGGAGUGGGAAGCCAUUCUCUUCUCCAGGGGCUCUUCCCAGCUCAGAGACUGAACCUGUGUCUCCUGAAAUGACAGGCAAAUUAUUUCCCACUGAGCCACGAGGGAAGCUAUCAGUUCCGCCUUAACCUUGUUCAUUAAAAAAGAAAAAGUGGGGCAACUCUUGCUUUCCAGGCCUCAAAACUGCGUUGUGACUUUAUUGGGCAAGACCUAAAAGACAGUCAAAUUUCCCCCAGCACGGCUGAGUAUCCUUGUGCUUUUGGCUACUGGCAUUCUGCAGCAGCUGUCUGAAGGAGAUGGAGAGCUCCAACAGGGAUGGGCCGGAACUCCAGCUGCUGGAUUAAAGAAAGUGAGAUUGAGAGACCGUCCUUCCUCAGCUGGUCCAGGAUCAACCACUUCUCCACUCUACAAGCACUACCUAGGGGCAUCUAUGUCUUCAGCAAUAAAGUUGGUUACCAACUUAACGGGCCCAAUUAAUUCAUGAAUGUGUAAAGAAGAAACAAAGAUGGUAGGGUCAGAGGCUUGAAGGGUAUAAAACAAACAGCUUCUUUCAUAAAGGCUCUUGCAGGAGAAAAGCAAAACCCCCUUCAUUCUGAAGUGUCAGGAGAGAAUGUAGUAGCAAAACAGAAAACACAGGCGUGAAUAUGGAUGCAGUUUUCC